UGGAUGCCCUGGCAGUCAGAGGCGAUGAAGGACGUGCUAAUCUGCGAUAAGCGCCGGUAAGGUGAUAUGAACCGUUAUAACCGGCGAUUUCCGAAUGGGGAAACCCAGUGUGAUUCGUCACACUAUCAUUAACUGAAUCCAUAGGUUAAUGAGGCGAACCGGGGGAACUGAAACAUCUAAGUACCCCGAGGAAAAGAAAUCAACCGAGAUUCCCCCAGUAGCGGCGAGCGAACGGGGAGGAGCCCAGAGCCUGAAUCAGCAUGUGUGUUAGUGGAAGCGUCUGGAAAGGCGCGCGAUACAGGGUGACAGCCCCGUACACAAAAGCGCAUGUGCUGUGAGCUCGAUGAGUAGGGCGGGACACGUGGUAUCCUGUCUGAAUAUGGGGGGACCAUCCUCCAAGGCUAAAUACUCCUGACUGACCGAUAGUGAACCAGUACCGUGAGGGAAAGGCGAAAAGAACCCCGGCGAGGGGAGUGAAAAAGAACCUGAAACCGUGUACGUACAAGCAGUGGGAGCACCCUUUGGGGUGUGACUGCGUACCUUUUGUAUAAUGGGUCAGCGACUUAUAUUCUGUAGCAAGGUUAACCGUAUAGGGGAGCCGCAGGGAAACCGAGUCUUAAC
rnacentral:rRNA from 1 species